UAGGGAAUCUUCCACAAUGGACGAAAGUCUGAUGGAGCAACGCCGCGUGAGUGAAGAAGGGUUUCGGCUCGUAAAACGCUGUUGUAAGAGAAGAAUGACAUUGAGAGUAACUGUUCAAUGUGUGACGGUAUCUUACCAGAAAGGAACGGCUAAAUACGUGCCAG
rnacentral:rRNA from 1 species